UAAGGAAUAUUGGUCAAUGGAGGCAACUCUGAACCAGCCAUGCCGCGUGCAGGAAGACAGCCCUCUGGGUCGUAAACUGCUUUUAUUCGGGAAUAAACCUACUUACGUGUAAGUAGCUGAAUGUACCGAAGGAAUAAGGAUCGGCUAACUCCGUGCCAGCAGCCGCGGUAAUACGGAGGAUCCAAGCGUUAUCCGGAUUUAUUGGGUUUAAAGGGUGCGUAGGCGGCCUGUUAAGUCAGGGGUGAAAGACGGUAGCUCAACUAUCGCAGUGCCCUUGAUACUGAUGGGCUUGAAUACACUAGAGGUAGGCGGAAUGUGACAAGUAGCGGUGAAAUGCAUAGAUAUGUCACAGAACACCGAUUGCGAAGGCAGCUUACUAUGGUGUCAUUGACGCUGAGGCACGAAAGCGUGGGGAUCAAACAG
rnacentral:rRNA from 1 species